rnacentral:rRNA from 1 species
AGCGAACGCUGGCGGCAGGCCUAACACAUGCAAGUCGAACGAACCCUUCGGGGUUAGUGGCGGACGGGUGAGUAACACGUGGGAACGUGCCUUUAGGUUCGGAAUAACUCAGGGAAACUUGUGCUAAUACCGAAUGUGCCCUUCGGGGGAAAGAUUUAUCGCCUUUAGAGCGGCCCGCGUCUGAUUAGCUAGUUGGUGAGGUAAUGGCGCACCAAGGCUACGAUCAGUAGCUGGUCUGAGAGGAUGACCAGCCACAUUGGGACUGAGACACGGCCCAAACUCCUACGAGAGGCAGCAGUGGGGAAUCUUGCGCAAUGGGGGAAAGCCUGACGCAGCCAUGCCGCGUGGAUGAUGAAGGUCUUAGGAUUGUAAAAUCCUUUCACCGGUGAAGAUAAUGACUGUAGCCGGAGAAGAAGCCCCGGCUAACUUCGUGCCAGCAGCCGCCGUAAAAC